UACGAAGGGGGCUAGCGUUGUUCGGAAUCACUGGGCGUAAAGCGCACGUAGGCGGAUGUGUCAGUCAGGGGUGAAAUCCCGGAGCUCAACUUCGGAACUGCCUCUGAUACAGCACGUCUUGAGUUCGAGAGAGGUGGGUGGAAUUCCUAGUGUAGAGGUGAAAUUCGUAGAUAUUAGGAAGAACACCGGUGGCGAAGGCGGCCCACUGGAUCGGUACUGACGCUGAGGUGCGAAAGCGUGGGGAGCAAACAGG
rnacentral:rRNA from 1 species